rnacentral:rRNA from 1 species
AGAACGAACGCUGGCGGCAUGCCUAAUACAUGCAAGUCGAACGAACACUUCGGUGUUAGUGGCGCACGGGUGCGUAACGCGUGGAAAUCUGCCCUUGGGUUCGGAAUAACAGUUGGAAACGACUGCUAAUACCGGAUGAUAUCGAAAGAUCAAAGAUUUAUCGCCCAGGGAUGAGCCCGCGUAGGAUUAGCUAGUUGGUGAGGUAAAGGCUCACCAAGGCGACGAUCCUUAGCUGGUCUGAGAGGAUGAUCAGCCACACUGGGACUGAGACACGGCCCAGACUCCUACGGGAGGCAGCAGUAGGGAAUAUUGGACAAUGGGCGCAAGCCUGAUCCAGCAAUGCCGCGUGAGUGAUGAAGGCCUUAGGGUUGUAAAGCUCUUUUACCCGAGAUGAUAAUGACAGUAUCGGAGAAUAAGCCCCGGCUAACUCCGUGCCAGCAGCCGC